GAUGAACGCUGGCGGCGUGCCUAAUACAUGCAAGUCGAGCGAACAGACGAGGAGCUUGCUCCUCUGACGUUAGCGGCGGACGGGUGAGUAACACGUGGAUAACCUACCUAUAAGACUGGGAUAACUUCGGGAAACCGGAGCUAAUACCGGAUAAUAUAUUGAACCGCAUGGUUCAAUAGUGAAAGACGGUUUUGCUGUCACUUAUAGAUGGAUCCGCGCCGCAUUAGCUAGUUGGUAAGGUAACGGCUUACCAAGGCGACGAUGCGUAGCCGACCUGAGAGGGUGAGCGGGCACACUGGAACUGAGACACGGUCCAGACUCCUACGGGAGGCAGCAGUAGGGAAUCUUCCGCAAUGGGCGAAAGCCUGACGGAGCAACGCCGCGUGAGUGAUGAAGGUCUUCGGAUCGUAAAACUCUGUUAUUAGGGAAGAACAAAUGUGUAAGUAACUAUGCACGUCUUGACGGUACCUAAUCAGAAAGCCACGGCUAACUACGUG
rnacentral:rRNA from 1 species